GGGCUCACUAUGUAGUCCUGGCUGACUUUGAACUCACUUUGUAGCCCAGGCUGGCCUCAAAAUCACAACCAUCUUCCUGCCUCAGCCUCCUGAGUGCUGGGAUUACAGGCAUGUGUUACCAUGCCC
rnacentral:miRNA from 1 species